AAAGUAGGAUCUUUAACUCAAGAUCCAGGGAAUGAAUUGAAGUUAAAGAUGUACGCCCUUUUUAAGCAGGGUUCUUUAGGCAAAUGUAAUACACCAAAGCCUGGGACUUUGGACUUUGUUGGAAAGGCAAAAUGGAAUGCAUGGAACGAUUUGGGUGAUUUAUCACAGGUGAAUAUUUAGUUUAAGAAAGGCUGCACUUAUCUUAUAAUGAACAUUCAAUAUGUAUCUAGUUUCAAACAUCACCAAAGGACUGUAUCUUUCAACAAUUUUAUUGAACACUCUCACAAGUUAUAGAUCACAACGUUUGCUAAUUUAUAUUGCUACUUUGAGACUGGUUACAUGACGUUUCUGCAACACACCCGAGGUCAAAGUUCGUAUGUAUUAAAAUGCAGCAAUGUGUAUAGUUCGUUAUUGAGGAUAACGUGAAGAUUAUUUUAAUUAGGGAAGGAUAUUUCUACGUUAUAGUUAAUUGUAACUGUUUAAUUUCAACUUAUGUUUACAUUAAAAGACAUCCUUAAGCCAACUUUACUAAUAUUGAUCGCUAUUUUCGUGUUAUACAUCUAUAAUCAUCUUGUUAAAGAUUUGAAGCUUUGCUGCGAUAAUACAGCAGAGAAUUAUUCUCAUUAUGAUUUGGUCAUUGGAAUACUUUCGUCGCGCGGCAACUUUGAUUUGAGGCAAAGUUUACGUGGAUCAUGGGUUGGCUAUGCAAGACGACAUUCAUCGCUCAAUAAAAGGCUAAACUCGAAUAUUCACAAGAAAUAACGGUUACGGUACACUUGCCCAAGAUAUCACCAUCUUACAGGUUUGUGAAAGCUCUUCAAUAAAUAAUAGAAAAAUGCGUGUUGGUAUCUUGGGAGUUGGGAGUACGUAGAGGUAUCUUGGGAUUUUAGAGUAUAUCAAUCUGGUGGUUUAAGUAGCUUGAAGCCUUGGACCAACUUUAAACCACGCUAAAGGUACACUCAAAUCACCCUUAAAACACCCUUACGCUACACUUAAACCACGCUGUGGAGAUGAUUUUUACACCAUUCCAGACCUCUCAUUGAGAGCUUUGGAAUGAGCCUCGUCCCGAGUGUCUACAAUUGCGCAUGCUCAGUAAAGAGUCGAUUUUAAUAUUAAUUACCUCCGGAAGUAUACAAGCUGUACAGAUGAUUUUCAACUCAAUCUAAAGAUUUUACUCAAUCAACAAUUGGUAAGGUGUCUUUAAUUAAGCUUUUUAUCUUUAACAUUGUACCGAAGAACUUCUCGACUGAAGAAAUGUUUGAUAAUUUUAGGAAAUGGAAAGUCAUAAUUUAAAAAACACGUCCAAAUUGUGGUGGGGAAGCUUUCGUACUGAUUGGUUGAUCGAGAGGCAGGGAAAAUGAGCCGAGCCUGAGUAUCCGGGCGUGACUUAUCCGACAUUUGCCUGAAGUGCGGGCAGCAUUAUUUCUUCGGAUAUUGUUCACUGGCUGGCAAAAAACGAGAAAUCUCUGAAACGUUAUCAGGGGGAGGAUGUCUCUAUGGGUAUUUGGUUAUCAGCUAUUCCUCCUGAAAUUUAUAAUGCAAGAUCUCCUGUUCUUCCCUGUAAGUUAUUGACAGUUGUUCAACAAGAUCCUUUAUGGUGAUCGUACUCCAACAAUCUUUUUUCAACAUCACGAGGAUUCAAUAGAAACGUUUGACAUGACCGUUAAAAUUUCUUCAUCGGAAACGCUACUACCGUUUGGUAGAGCAAUAAAACGAUCAGCGUUUUUAAUAUCUUCUAUUAAACUUCCACCUCUUUCCUCGCGUGCGAACACGCUACCAUUGCUUGUGAAGCUGUCGGCAACGUUCGACUCCUUUCGACCAAUUUUAUCGGGAGAUCCCGACUCUCGACCACGAGCGCUCUCCGUCUCGCUGUUGAAUCUAGAGUGACGAGUCUCGCUACUCGUGGAAAUGUAGCUGUUCUCUUGUGGACUUCCUUGUUGUCAUCUCCCCUCUCGUUGUUGUUUUUAUUCGCAUGCUGCAAGUUUCGCAGUCAAAUCACGUAUUUCCUCCUGUGAAAAGUGCAAGGUCAAAAUUCGUUCGUUGAAAUUUGGUGAAGAAGCCAUUAUCAAUGAAAUUGAAAGCGAUGUGAUCCCACAUGGAUGGAGUUGUGAAAGUCCCUUUAC